ACGCCAUCAUACAGGAGAGGAAGAAGUUUGGUCCUCUGGGUUGGAACAUCCGUUAUGAGUUCAACGACAGCGACAGAGAGUGUGCCCUGCUCAACCAGAACCUCUACUGUCAGACUGGUCACAUACCCUGGGAUGCUCUCAUCUACAUCACUGGGGAGAUAACCUACGGAGGCAGGGUGACUGAUGCCUGGGACCAGCGCUGUCUCCGCACCAUCCUCAAACGGUUCUUCUCUCCUGUCACCCUGGACCCAGGGUACACCUUCUCCACCU